CUUGAAUUCUGAAGACAAAAAAGUAAAUUACUUACCCUAUUGCCAUUGGCAGUGGAAGGCGGAGAGAGAUGAGAGUGAGAGCAGAGGUGCCAUUGGUCGGCAGUGGAAGGUAGAGAAAGACGAGAGUGAGAGCUGAAUGCACAUGGUAAAGUUGUGGAGAGGCGGAGGAGUGGGGGAAUGGGAAAAAUGUCGCAUUUUAGGGCUUGUAAGUAUCAAAUUUUUUACAAUACAUGGCGCGUACACUAAAAGCACACAGUAAA
rnacentral:lncRNA from 1 species